CAGGGUACCCGUUGACCCUCUUUAGUUCAACCAAAUGAACUAAAGUUUUCAAAUGAUACAACUUUUUAAAAAACUAGUUCAUUUGUUUGAACUAAAGAGGGUCGGAGAGUACCCUA
rfam:Brachypodium distachyon strain Bd21 chromosome 5, whole genome shotgun sequence.